AGUCGAGCGCGCCCUUCGGGGUGAGCGGCGGACGGGUGAGUAACGCGUGGGAAUAUGCCCUUCUCUAAGGAAUAGCCUCUGGAAACGGAGAGUAAUACCUUAUACGCCCUUUUGGGGAAAGAUUUAUCGGAGAAGGAUUAGCCCGCGUUAGAUUAGGUAGUUGGUGGGGUAAUGGCCUACCAAGCCUACGAUCUAUAGCUGGUUUGAGAGGAUGAUCAGCCACACUGGGACUGAGACACGGCCCAGACUCCUACGGGAGGCAGCAGUAGGGAAUCUUAGACAAUGGGGGCAACCCUGAUCUAGCCAUGCCGCGUGUGUGAUGAAGGCCCUAGGGCCGUAAAGCACUUUCGCCAGAGAUGAUAAUGACAGUAUCUGGUAAAGAAACCCCGGCUAACUCCGUGCCAGCAGCCGCGGUAAUACGGAGGGGGUUAACGUUGUUCGGAAUUACUGGGCGUAAAGCGCACGUAGGCGGAUUAGUAAGUUAGAGGUGAAAUCCCAGGGCUCAACCCUGGAACUGCCUUUAAUACUGCUAGUCUUGAGUUCGAGAGAGGUAAGUGGGAUUCCGAGUGUAGAGGUGAAAUUCGUAGAUAUUCGGAGGAACCCCAGUGGCGGAGGCGGCUUACUGGCUCGAUACUGA
rnacentral:rRNA from 1 species